rnacentral:piRNA from 1 species
UAUGAUCGUGACCUUUCCGCCUUGACCCAU